UCACAACCAUUCCUGGGUGUUUUUCCGCACCCAGGUUAGUACAUAUUUACAUGUUGAAUGCACACAGGAUUAUGCCGGGGCCAAAUACUGAAAGAAAACAUGCGGUAAAUGGUUGCUUUAAUAAGUCCUGUUCCAUUGAAAGGAAAUAAAACCUGAGUAUUAAUGAGAUAUAAUUAUAUAUUUAAAAUCUUUUCCCUUGUGCAGUAUAUAGGAUUAAUGCCAGUAAACUCACAAACUGCAACAUUCUACUCCAUUACAUCUGCAAUGAUUAGAGAUAGUUUGAACAUCUGGCAUAUAAUCUGUGAUAGAAAACAGCAUUCUGCAGUUUAAUGGACGUCUGGAGGCUACACAUAUCUGAUUUUAUUUCUUUCUGUUAACUCUUUCAUGAGAGAAGAAGAGUUCGUUCCCGGGACGCCUCUCUUUCUUUCCUUCUUUGAACAGCGGUCUACACAACUCUCAGGUUCCCCUGCAAUCUGUCACAUACUCUUUGUAUUUUCAACGGGGAGCUCAAAAUGGAAGCCACCCGAAUUCUCCAAAGUUAUAUAUAAACAGCACAAUUGAGCAGCUUUAAUAUUCAGAUUUUAAAACCUUUACGAACCUCUACCCAUGGAAACUCAGACAAUUUCCUCAUUAUCAGUGAAAUCUAAAACGCAAAACUGAAGCUGGAUUUAUGAUUUCUCACAAAUUUCAAAGGCGCUCUCCCCACACUCUCUGAAUGCUGUUCCCUUUCAUAAUUGUGUAUGUGGGUUCUCUCCUGUCAAGAAAAAGGAUUUCAAUAUUUGUACACUUUUGAUGCUUCUUAAGUGUGAGUAGGUAAGAAUGUCUUUGACUGGCACAGGCUUUCAUUGAAAAAAAUUAGAUGAUUUUUCUGCCUCCUGUAGGGUGUGUUUAGCCCCAAGCUAAACAAGGAAAGUUUUAGUCCUACUGGAUUUCUACAGGGAAAAGGAAGAUCCUUUGUUGAAAUGGGAGAGAGUGACAGCACUAGCUUUUGCUUUAUUUACUGAAAUAUUGGCUAAUGGCAGCACCUAAGGAAACUGUGAACUUGGCCUUUGUGAAGAGUCACAAAGAAUGACUGACAUGCAGCCUAAGCACACCGGGUGCUGUCACAGAAGGGCCACAGCAUGGGAGAGCCCUGCGACAGAGUGCUCCGGAGGCUCCACUUGGUGUGAGAACAUGCAUGGAAAGGUGCCAGUGCUUAUAGGAGUGGAUGUGCUAUCAGCCCCUAGGGUCCAGGUUGAAGACGCUGCUGUAGACAACACCACACAGGACCGCCUGCAUGACAGAGUUUAAAGACCCAUAAUGUCAACAGCAGCACAGUUCUCGGCAUUAAUGUGAUCCAGAUGUCAAGUCAAAAUCAACUCCAGCACCAACCUCAUGAGCUGGGAUAUGUCCAAAAUCCUCCUGGAGAGUCCCAGGGUGCAGGACUCCAACUUCCGGCACUGGCCAAAUUCAGGAGAUCCUGAGGUCUUCACUUCCACUUUAAAUGCCUUCUGCUGUCUGCCAGACCCUUCCACCUCCCACCCAGAGUAGCACUCGCUGCAGGAAGCUGCCCCCAGGACUUCACUAGCAACCCAGAGGAAUAGCAUGGAGGAAGGAGAGGAAGGUGGGGGCACUUCCACAAAGCAGACCCUAUAAAACUCAAUGACAAAUUUGUCUAUUGGAUUUCAUCUCUUUCCUUAUUAGCAAGACACCUCUCUCUCCAGUAGCUCAAACAAAUAAACUCAUACUUACAUUCACAGACCCCAGUGUGCAAAGCAAGUUAGCGCCCUUCCUGCAAGGCUUGCCUGCCAUGGCUUUGCCUCUGCUCUCGGAAUCAGCAGCCAUAGACUUCAUCAAGUCUCCAAAGUUCAGCUCCCAGUUAUUGCACAUUGACCUGGGCCAUUGAAGAAGUGAUUCUUCCGAGGUUCUGGAAAUGGUGGAGAUGGUAGAGCUGCCUGGAAGACGGGCAGGCACUAUUCAGGGGAGGAUGCUCUUGGAGACCCCGGGGCUGUGGUGUGGACCACUUCAGGGCAGAGAUAAGCCAGGGCUGGGAGUGCUUCCCAGCCCUGAUGGGGACAGUACCUGAAUUCAAGCCUCUGGCCAGUGGCUCCAAUUGCCGAGAGGGACAAAGGCUCUCCUCAGCGUUGAGUACUGCAGAGAAACAGCUCCCACACCUUACGGGAGGGAGCCAGAAACCGAGUGUUAUCUAAUGCAAAUCCAUUCUAAGAAGGUUGUGGGGGCCAUCUGGUGUCCGAUGCAGACAGGGCCUGCUGCGAGAUGGAUUGGAAGGACAAGGGACAGGGUGAGAGUGAAGGGUGAGGGGGAAGAGGCUGAAUCCUUUUCAUCCAUGUCAAAAAACAGCCCAUCGGGAGGAUAAAAAGAGGGGGAGAAAUCACCUUCUGUUGUGGGAAGCAGAUCAAAGCAGAAAAGAUAAUGUCUCCGAAAAAAAGGGCGGAUACAAAGUACGGUUGAUGAACAAAGCUGGGGAGAGGCAACAGCUCAGGCCCCUGGGUGCCCAGCUAGACUUAAUGACCGUCUGGGUGGGCUCCUUCAAAGACAGAACAAAUCCCCACACCAUUUGUUAGGGCCUCAGACACACAUAGACACCAGGGCUUCCUGCGAGUUUUUUUUCAAGGCUUUGUGUAUCCUGAAAAAUGUACACCCCCCCCCACUACCACUGGCUUUCUACAC